UUUAAAGUGACAUUCUCCUUUAUCUUUCAUUUUAGGAUGAAAAAUGAAAGAUAAAGGAGAAUGUCACUUUUUA
rnacentral:pre_miRNA from 1 species